rnacentral:rRNA from 1 species
UACGUAGGCAGCAAGCGUUGUUCGGAAUUACUGGGCGUAAAGAGUGUGUAGGCGGUGCUCUAAGUCUGUUGUGAAAUCUCCCGGCUUAACCGGGAGGGUGCGGCGGAAACUGGAGUGCUUGAGGGUGGGAGAGGUAAGCGGAAUUCCUGGUGUAGCGGUGAAAUGCGUAGAUAUCAGGAGGAACACCUGUGGUGUAGACAGCUUACUGGACCAUGACUGACGCUGAGACACGAAAGCGUGGGUAGCAAACAGG